UACAGAGGGUGCGAGCGUUAAUCGGAAUUACUGGGCGUAAAGGGUGAGUAGGUGGUUAGAUAAGUCGGAUGUGAAAGCCCUGGGCUUAACCUAGGAAUAGCAUACGAUACUGUUUUGACUAGAGUAUAGGAGAGGGGAGUGGAAUUUCCGGUGUAGCGGUGAAAUGCGUAGAUAUCGGAAGGAACACCAGUGGCGAAGGCGACUCUCUGGACUAAUACUGACACUGAGUCACGAAAGCAUGGGUAGCAAACAGG
rnacentral:rRNA from 1 species